CAGGCUAUGGAAAAUGCGGUUUGUGGGCCCCACUAUCGUGAAACCAAUCUUCCUCCUUGGUUCUUCUCUUCCUCCCGCGAUCGAACUCAGCACGAGCAGAGACGACGCAUCGAUCUCUCCAUCUUGGCGCAUCGAUCCCCUCCCGCCAAAUCGGUAUUCCCUCUCCCCUGCGCCAUCUUUCUUCGUUCCCUGGUUGUAAACCAUCUCCCGCACGCGCCAAAGCAGUUUCGCCGGCGGGGAGAACGACAUCGAUGCCCCAAAGUCGCUCUGUCCUCUCCCCGUGAAUAGAUCUCCGCCAGCCGCGCCCGCAAUCCCCUUUCAUCUUCCAUUGUUCCACUCAAGCAAAACCCUAGUUCCCUUCUAGGCGUCCACAAUGUCUUGUCGAACGAAGAGAGAGGUUGCGCCGCCCCCUUCCGCUACUGCAAGCUCGUUUGGUCCUCCCGGUGUUCACGUCCCACCUGCCACACCGUAUCCAUAUGGUGGUCCUUUGUUUCCCACCCCGCUGCCACCAUGGUUUCCGUUUCCGCCAUCACCAGCCAUGGCAGGCUCAUCUGCAUACCAGCCUCAUACGUCUGGCAAUACGGACGUGCAACUUGAUUUGGAUCAAUGGGGAUUAGAAUCUCGCCCAACAGGUGUUUUUUCUGAUUUUAUCAAAAACCUGUCGAACCCUAUGCACCAUGUGGUUGAAGGGGGUCAAUCGCAGCCAAUCAAUGUUGACAAUGCCAACAAUGGAGAUGUCACUAGGACUGAGAAGCGCUUAGCAUGGUAAACUGAAGAAGACUUGAGGCUGGUCAGUGCGUGGUUAAACAACUCAAAUGAUCCAAUAGAAUCAAAUUUCAAAAAAAAUGAUAAAUAUUGGGUUGAUGUUGCUGCUGCUUACAAUAGCACAACUCCGUCAAGCCGGGUUAGGCAAGUUAAGGACUGUUUUGCCAAGAUCAAGAAAAAGGUUGGGAAUUUUUGUUGCUCUUGGAAGGAGGCUAAUUCAUUAUAUGCUAGUGGGGAGUCUAAUGUUGAUCUCAUAGACAAGGCGAUGAAAAUAUAUGAGAAUGACUUCAAGGAUGGGCCGUUUUUGUUUACACAGUGUUGGAAAGAACUAAAAACCCAACCCAAAUGGCAAGCAUAUUUGGAGCAACUUGACAAUUCAAAAAAAUGGAAGAUGCAUUAUGCGGAUGCUAUUCCCCUUGACGACGAGGAGAUCCCACGACCAAUGGGAGUCAAGGCAGCUAAGGCGCAACGCAUUGGCAAAGGAAAAGGCAAGGUGCAGGAUUGUACCACUGAGCUAGAAGAGGACAUCCUUAAGUUUAUGGAUGCACAUGAAGCAGCCAAGGAGAAGCAAAGUGAAUUGUGUGAGACCCAACGUCGUGUUGCUAGUGAUAAUCUUGAAGCUAAAAAGGUGGGUCGGCAGACUGCUAUGAUUGAAGCAUAUAGAGAAUUGAUGAACAAAGACACAAGAGAGAUGCCAGAUGAUGUGAGGUCUGAGUUUGUUGCAAUGUUGUAAUGCAUGAGAGAUUUGUUUCCAAAAAACCAGUGAGGAACAAUUAGUCUUCGAUGGACUGUGUUGUACUUCUUACAGGCUGGUGGCAACUAAUCAAGAUGGCUUGUAUGGAGAUCAACAACUAUCUAGUUACAUUUAUCCUUUUGUUCAAUGGCAUGUUGCCGGGAGAUUUAUAAAUCAUUGUACUGCGUUGCUUUAUUAUAUGGCUUCUUAGUAUCUAAUCGGACCAAGAACUUAAUUGUAGUUUCAGUUAUCCUGUUGUUGAAUGGCAUGCUGCCAAGAGAUUAUAAAUCAUCAUACUGUUUUGGUUCA